rnacentral:snRNA from 1 species
AUACUUAGCUGGCAGGGGAGAUACCAUGAUCACGAAGGUGGGUCAGCCAGAGUGAGGCCCAGUCACUGUACUGCGGUUGUUCUGACCCCUGCGAAUUCCCCAAAUGUGGGAAUCUCCACCUCUCAAUUUCGUUGUC